AAACAAGAUAAUUGCAAAGCGGUUCCCUGCCAGCCCAUCCUCUUAACAAAGAAGGUGAGAUAAAAGAGAUGGCAUUCCUCCUGCUGGGCCCAGCAGGCUUGACAACCAGUGCCAGUCAUGGGGAAAAUGUCCCUUUCAGCCAACUCGAGAUCUUUCAAAACAGACCCAGGCAGUUUCUUUGAGGGCUGAAAGCCAGGAAACGGGUUCCUGUUGGCCGAGGCUUGGAAGGAGGGCCUGCCUGGUCCGUUGGCCCAUACCAGGCUUCCUUAGCGCCUCUGCUAGGAGCCAGUUAUCCUGCAGGCUGACUCAGCCUCUGCCCAGCCAUGAUCUGAAGCUGCUCUCUGCUGUUUUAAGCUGAGCACUGCAACCAGGGACCUCAGACACCAGAGACAAUGCAGGCCUCCAGAAAGCAGGAGAAGGACUUCUAAAUCAAGGCUGGCAGGAGGAAUGGGAAAUGGGCAUUCAAGGACAUGGCAGUAUGCUAUGCUCUGUACAUCAGGACCUCAUGGAAACCAGAAAGCCCGAGGUCUUGGAAUCCUGAACAGUGUUCCAGGUAGCCAAAGCUGGUCUGCAGAAUGAAGCUGAUGUGCACAAAGAUAUUCUGCCUUCAACGGAGGUGUGAGGAUCAGCUCCGUCUGGGUCAUGCCUGGAGUCCAGCUUCUCUCCUCUCCCAAAAUGACUCCGAUUUGGUGCUCAACCUUGUGAUCACAGAUUGCCAAUAAACGAUUAGCUUGAAAAUGCUGCCUGCAUUCUUCUCUCUCCAGGGAU
rnacentral:lncRNA from 1 species